AACGACUUUCAGAGAGAAUGUGAAUACAUUUGGUGUGAACUAUAAAGCUGGAAAACCCCUAAAUAGAUGCAGUAUCGAUAGCGAGUUUCUUGAAGAGUCACCUGCCAAACUCCAUUAGCGACAUCUCUACUGAUCCCUCCAGUUAAUCAGAGCUGACUUCAUCGACAGCUUGCUCUGGUUAAUUACCACAGUGUUUUAACUGAAUGCCCCAAGGAAUUGAUGUAGUCAACCAUCACUUCAAGCCUCAGAACACUAGAAAUCUUGGCAGAACUCUGGAGAAAGCUUAUCGAUAUCUAAGCCACAAACCAGUCUCAAGGGUUCGAUGACCUUUCAUCCAGAGUUU